UUGGUAUUUACAGUCGGUGUUCGAAUCACCGCAGGAUAAUUCUACUUUAAUACUAGC
rnacentral:tRNA from 1 species